GACAUGACAUGGUGACAUGGAAGGGCCACCAUGGAGGACACCAGGAACAUGGCAAGGGGACAGGGAGAAGCCACCAUGGGGAUGACAUGGGGACAGGGAGGGGCCACCAUGGAUGACACCUUGGUGAUGACAUGGAAACAUGGACAGGCCACCAUGGCGGACAUCAUGGAGGACAUGGAGGGGCCACCAUGGACAUGACAAGGGACAUGAAAGGGCCACCAUGGAGGACACCAGGGACAUGACACGAGGACAUGGGAGGGGCCACCAUGAGGAUGAUGACAUGGGGACAUGGAGGGGCCACCACUGUCCCCACCUGUCCCCGCCUGUUCCCGUUUGUCCCCAUCUGUCCCCGUUUGUCCCCAUUUGCCCCAUCUGUCCCGGUUUCUCCACAAUUGUCCCAGUCUGUCCCCCUUUGUCCCUUUCUGACCCUGUCUAUCCCCGUUUGUCCCCAUUUGUCCCAGUUUGUCCCCUUCUGUCCCCGUUUCUCCCCGUCUGUCCCCAUUUGUCCCUGUCUGUUCCCUUCUGUCCCUGUUUCACCCUGUCUGUCCCCGUUUGUCCCCAUUUGUCCCCAUUUGUCCCCGUCUGUCCCUGUCUAUCCCCAUUUGUCCCCGUUUCUCCCCAUCUGUCCCCGUUUGUGCCCAUCUGUUCCCGUCUGUCCCUGUUUGUCGCCAUUUGCCCGGUUUGUCGCAUUUGUCCCCAUUUGUCCCCUUCUGUCCCCGUCUGUCCCCAUUUGCCCGGUUUGUCCCCAUUUGUCCCCAUCUGUCCCCACUGGUACCAGGCAGGUGCCGUAGCCGGGGGGCAGCCGGGGGGGGUCCCUGAGCAGGAGCCCCCCCAGAGCCGCCGCCCCCGCCAGGGUCUGGAGCAGCGCCGGGGCCAGGGUGGGGGGCGCGGGGGGGGACAGCAGCGCCACCACCCCCCCGGACAGCACCUGAGGGGACACAGAGGGGACACACGGGGUCAUGGUGGGGACAGCAGUGCCACCACCCCCCCGGACAGCACCUGGGGACAGA
rnacentral:lncRNA from 1 species